rnacentral:rRNA from 1 species
UCGAGAAUCUUCCGCAAUGGGCGAAAGCCUGACGGAGCGACGUCGCGUGAUUGAUGAAGCCCCUUGGGAUGUAAAGAUCUUUUGUGAGGGAGAAAGUAAUUGAUAGUACCUCAAGAAUAAGGGGUUGCUAAACUCGUGCCAGCAGCAGCGGUAAUACGAGUGCCCCAAGCGUUAUCCGGAAUUAUUGGGUGUAAAGGGUGCGUAGGUGGUCCUAUUAGUCCUGUGUUAAAGCCUGGAGCUUAACUCCAGAAAUGCGCAGGAAACGGUAGGACUAGAGGAUGUGAGAGGUCUGUGGAACUCAUGGUGUAGGGGUGAAAUCCGUUGAUAUCAUGGGGAACACCGAAAGCGAAGGCAGCAGACUGGUACAUUCCUGACACUGAGGCACGAAAGCGUGGGUAGCGAAUGGG